AUCGGACCCCGCGAAUCAGACAGGCACCCGGCAGCAGCAGCACCAAGACCUCCGCGAAGCGAUGGUACAGGUAAACCACGAUGGAGGUGAUAACCGGUGGUCGGCAAACAUGAAGAAAACGGACAGCAAGCCAGGAGACCAGACAACGAGGAUACAGGUAAGGGUAACUCGCCAGACCACCCAUGGUAAAGUGGGAGGGGAUUGGAUGCCCUUAUAAAGGGGACCCAAG